UAAACAUGAUUUAUACCACUUGAAGUAUUUAGAAACUAAAAUUUAAAUUUUUUCGAUAUCAUUGGCCUAAUAAUCAAAGGGUUUCAAAAUUUGUAAUUUUAAUGAUCGAUAUAAGACGUUUUCUUGUUUAGCGGCAUAAAGAUAUCUAAAUUAAUUGAAUUUUGGUUAUAAAAUUUUUUAAACUAUUUAGAAUAAGAUCUAUACUCUUGAUCUUGAUUAUAAAACUUAUGUCAUCACUUUUUAAAGGAUACUCAUUUUUAGUCGUUUAUUUUUGUGUCCACUUAAUGAAGAAAAGAACAAUGUAAAAAAAAUAUAAAAUUUGAUUUUUAGAUGUUUUAAGUAGUAUAGAUCAUGUUCAACGGUGCGGAUCGUCGAUUUGAAAGCUCAAUUAUAAAAAUAAAUGAGUGGCAACGGAACCUGUUUGCUACUAAUAGUAUUCCA
rnacentral:lncRNA from 1 species